rnacentral:rRNA from 1 species
UUUUACCUACGGGGCGCAGCAGUGGGGGAUAUUGCACAAUGGGGGGAACCCUGAUGCAGCGACGCCGCGUGAAGGAAGAAGUAUCUCGGUAUGUAAACUUCUAUCAGCAGGGAAGAAAAUGACGGUACCUGACUAAGAAGCCCCAGCUAACUACGUGCCAGCAGCCGCGGUAAUACGUAGGGGGCAAGCGUUAUCCGGAUUUACUGGGUGUAAAGGGAGCGUAGGCGGCAGUUCAAGUCAGGAGUGAAAGGCCGGGGCUCAACUCCGGGACUGCUUUUGAAACUGUACAGCUUGA